rnacentral:rRNA from 1 species
UGGGGAAUUUUGGACAAUGGGCGAAAGCCUGAUCCAGCAAUGCCGCGUGUGUGAAGAAGGCCUUCGGGUUGUAAAGCACUUUUGUCCGGAAAGAAAUCCUUGGUUCUAAUACAGUCGGGGGAUGACGGUACCGGAAGAAUAAGCACCGGCUAACUACGUGCCAGCAGCCGCGGUAAUACGUAGGGUGCAAGCGUUAAUCGGAAUUACUGGGCGUAAAGCGUGCGCAGGCGGUUUGCUAAGACCGAUGUGAAAUCCCCGGGCUCAACCUGGGAACUGCAUUGGUGACUGGCAGGCUAGAGUAUGGCAGAGGGGGGUAGAAUUCCACGUGUAGCAGUGAAAUGCGUAGAGAUGUGGAGGAAUACCGAUGGCGAAGGCAGCCCCCUGGGCCAAAUACUGACGCUCAUGCACGAAAGCGUGGGGAGCAAACAGGAUUAGAUACCCCUGGUAGUCCACGCCCCUAAAACGAUGUCAACUAGUUGUUGGGGGAUUCAUUUCCUUAGUAACGUAGCUAACGCGUGAAGUUGACCGCCUGGGGGAGUACGGUCGCAAGAUUAAAACUCAAAUGAAUUGACGGGGUCAUAGCUGUUUCCU